rnacentral:rRNA from 1 species
AGUGAACGUUGGCGGCGUGGAUUAGGCAUGCAAGUCGAGCGGGAGUAGCAAUACUCCAGCGGCGAAAGGGAGAGUAAUGCGUAGAUUACCUACCUCCAGGCCCGGGAUAGCCGUGGGAAACUGCGGGUAAUACCGGAUAAUGUCUCCGGACCAAAGGUGUGAUUCCGCCUGGAGACGGGUCUGUGUCCUAUCAGCUAGUUGGUGAGGUAACGGCUUACCAAGGCGACGACGGGUACGAGGCGUGGGAGCGUGUCCUCGCUCACUGGGACUGAGACACUGCCCAGACACCUACGGGUGGCUGCAGUCGAGAAUCUUCGUCAAUGGGCGCAAGCCUGAACGAGCGACGCCGCGUGCGGGAUGAAGGCCUUCGGGUUGUAAACCGCUGUCAGAGGGGAUGAAAUGCCGGUGGGUUCUCCCAUCGGUUUGACAGAUCCUCAGAGGAAGUACGGGCUAAGUUCGUGCCAGCAGCCGCGGUAA